rnacentral:rRNA from 1 species
AUGGCGCCCGCGCAGGCCACCUCGAGGACGUACCCGAAGGCCACGGUCGCGACGGGCCCCCACAGGUUGCCCCUCGCGCCGCCCAGGACGGCGGACACGGUCAGCCGCUCGGUGGCGUCGUCGUCAUCGGUGCCGGAGGAGAACGCCCUGACGGCGGCGAAGACGGUGGCUAUCUUGAUGGCGGACCCGACGACGACCGCGGCGAGGACGCACGCGCCAACCUCGAGCAGGAGCCGCCUGAGGUCUCCCCUGAGCGCCCUGACGAGGCCCGGGUACGCGGCGCCGGCCGGGUCGGCGCGGCUGAUGGCGCUGGCGUCGACCAGCGCGGCGGCGGCGAGGGGCUGCACGGCGAGGGAGUUGGUGAGGAGGAGCGCCGCGGCGAGGGCCGCGGUGAGCGCGAGCAGCGGCAGGAAGAGCCCGCCGUGGCGCGCCGGGAGGAGGGCGCCGUGCUUGAGGAAGGAGAAGAAGCACGGGGGCGGCGGUCGGGCCGCCAUGGCCGGCUCAGGGAUUGAGCUGGGCUAG